AUCUCGGAAACUAAGCAGGUUCAGGCCUGGUUGGUACUUGGAUGGGAGACCGCCUGGGAAUACCAGGUGCUGUAUGCU
rfam:Larimichthys crocea isolate SSNF unplaced genomic scaffold scaffold4788, whole genome shotgun sequence.